rnacentral:pre_miRNA from 1 species
CCGAGCCUCGAGCUCGCCGGAUCUGGCGGCGGAGCUCGCGGCUCGCCGGAUCCAGGCAAGCUCGAGCUCUGUCGCCAGAUCCGACGAGCUCGGGUGAGAU